rnacentral:rRNA from 1 species
AGUCUGGUGCCAGCAGCCACGGUAAUUCCAGCUCCAAUAGCGUAUAUUCGAUUUGCUGCAGUUGAAAAGCUCGUAGUCGAACUUUGGGCUUGGCCGGAGGGUCCGCUGCUUCGGCAGCGCGUACUGUCUAUGCCAGCUGCGCCUCUCUUUCGGGGGAGGUGCAGUGGCCGAGCCUUUCCUCCUGCAUGGCGGUGCCUGGCGGGUGGUCCUUCGGGGCCGCCGGCUGGCACAGCGGCAGGACGUUUACCUUGAAAAAAUUAGAGUGUUCAAAGCAGGCGCACGCUUGCAUAGAUUAGCAUGGAAUAAUGGAAUAGGACCAGUGGUUCUGUUUUGUUGGUCUUUGUUGGAACCGCGGUAAUGAUUAAUAGGGACAGCUGGGGGCAUUUGUAUCUCGCAGCUAGAGGUGAAAUUCUUGGAUUUGCGAGCGGCAAACCUAUGCGAAAGCAUUUGCCAAGGAUGUUUUCAUUGAUCAAGAACGAAAGUUAGGGGAUCGAAGACGAUUAGAUACCGUCGUAGUCUUAACCAUAAACGAUGCCGACUAGGGAUUGGGCGAUGUUGCUUAUUGACUCGCUCAGCACCUUCAGAGAAAUCAAAGUGUUUGGGUUUUGGGGGAAGUAUGGUCGCAAGGCUGAAACUUAAAGGAAUUGACGGAAGGGCACCACCAGGAGUGGAGCCUGCGGCUUAAAUCGACAACACGGGAAAACUCACCAGGUCCAGACAAAGGUUGGAUUGACAGAUUGAAAGCUCUUUCUUGAUUCUUUGGGUGGUGGUGCAUGGCCGUUCUUAGUUGGUGGAGUGAUUUGUCUGCUUAAUUGCGAUAACGAACGAGACCUUAACCUGCUAACUAGUGACACCAACCUUUGUGUUGGUGGCCACUUCUUAGAGGGACUGUCGGCGUUUAGCCGACGGAAGUUUGAGGCAAUAACAGGUCUGUGAUGCCCUUAGAUGUCCUGGGCCGCACGCGCGCUACACUGACAAAGCCAGCGAGUCUACAACCUUGGCCGGAAGGUCCGGGUAAUCUUGUUAAACUUUGUCGUGCUGGGGAUAGUCCAUUGCAAUUAUUGGACUUGAACGAGGAAUUCCUAGUAAGUACGGGUCAUCAGCCCGUGCUGACUUCGUCCCUGCCCUUUGUACACACCGCCCGUCGCUACUACCGAUUGAAUGGCUUAGUGAGACCUUUGGAUUGGCGUGCCUUGGCUGCUGGCAACGGCGGCUGGCCGCUGAAAAGUUGGUCAAACUUGGUCAUUUAGAGGAAGUAAAAGUC